UACAGAGGUCCCAAGCGUUGUUCGGAUUCACUGGGCGUAAAGGGUGCGUAGGCGGUCGGGUAAGUCUGAUGUGAAAUCUCACAGCUUAACUGUGAAACUGCAUUGGAUACUAUCCGGCUUGAGGAAUGGAGGGGAGACUGGAAUACUUGGUGUAGCAGUGAAAUGCGUAGAUAUCAGGAGGAACACCGGUGGCGAAGGCGGAUCUCUGGGCCAUUACUGACGCUGAGGAGCGAAAGCGUGGGGAGCGAACAGG
rnacentral:rRNA from 1 species